GCCGAGGUGGCGGAAUAGGUAGACGCACAGGUCUUAAAAUCCUGAGAGGAGAAAUCCUCAUGUGGGUUCGAGUCCCACCCUCGGCACCA
rnacentral:tRNA from 1 species